rnacentral:lncRNA from 1 species
UGUUGAUUGUGAAAUGCCAGUUGAAGCAUAUGUCCUGCGAGCUUGGGGGUGCUACAAGUUGACCACUGCAGCAGUAAAGAUGACUCUGAAGAAUGGCGUGGGAUGGUUCCUUUCAAAUGCACUUGAGCAGCGGUCUCCAACCACAGGGCCACAGAGCUGGAGCUGGAUCUACCAUGAAAGACUUGUGAAUCCAGGAAGAGAGACUGACUGGGCAACAUGUUAUUCAGGUGGGAACAUCCAGUUGCAGGAAAACAAGCUUAACACGCCCACUGAUUCUACAUUAUGCUCCUACCUCCCGGCAGCCUCUCCAGGCCCAGAACUUUCUCCAGUCAGCCUCUACAGACCAAGCUCAUGACUCACAAUGGCCUAUUUAGGCCCAUACCCUACGUCACGGCAGCCUCCGCAGAUGAGGCUACUGCCUCACAACAGCCUCCACAGGCACAGCUCCAUCGUUACAAUGGCCUCUUUAGACCCAGCUCCUGCCUCCCAGCCUUCUCUCCAGGCCCUGAACAUUCUCAGGUCUCCCUCUGUUGUCCAAGGCUGGAGUGUAGUAGUGCUAUCGCAGCUGACUGCAGCCUCAACCUUCCAGGCUGAAGCGAUCCUCCCACCUCAACCUCCCACGUGGCUGAGACUACAGGUGCUUGCCACUAUGCCCAACUAAUAUUUGGAAUUUUCGUAUACGU